CCUACGGGAGGCAGCAGUAGGGAAUUUUCGGCAAUGGACGAAAGUCUGACCGAGCAACGCCGCGUGAGUGAAGAAGGUUUUCGGAUCGUAAAGCUCUGUUGUAGGAGAAGAAAAGAUAGUAGAGGAAAUGCUAUUAUAAUGACGGUAUCCUAUUAGAAAGCCACGGCUAACUACGUGCCAGCAGCCGCGGUAAU
rnacentral:rRNA from 1 species